CCAGGACAGAAAGAGAAGUGGAAGAGCCCAGGUUCACAACUGCGCAAGAGGACAAGUCACCUCACAGGUCUUCAUCUGGCAGCUUCAUUGACAACAGUGAAAAGACAACUCUGGGAUACAGGCCUUAUAGGCAAAGUGAAAAAGAAAAUUAGUAAUGAGUAAAAAUGAAAUGAGUAAAAGAACAGAAAGAUUGGAUGGUAGAUGAUUGUAAAAAGAGUAUUAUGGACAUCAUCCCAGAGUUCUCUUUACUGUUGCAGAUGAAACUGUUUGGCAAGCACUAUUCAAUGAAGCUGCCUGAGAGGGGGACCGAGGCAACAAUGGUAGCACUUAUAAACUAACGUAUUUUGCAUAGUUGUUGAGUAUCAUCUACUAACAUAGCUAGAACGCAGAGUUGUUUCCACAUAUAGUUAGGUUGCAGGGGCACAGAAUGUCAGAGUUGAGCAAUUUCAGCAUGCAAACAUCCUGGCCACAAGGUGGCUUGCGCAAAGGGGUUAAGGUAAGUCACACAAGGUUUUGAACCAACUUUAUUGUUUGAGAGGAAACAAAGCUGGAUAAGAAAUUUUUAUUUAUUUAUUU